rnacentral:rRNA from 1 species
GAUGAACGCUGGCGGCGUGCCUAAUACAUGCAAGUCGAGCGAAUGGAUUAAGAGCUUGCUCUUAUGAAGUUAGCGGCGGACGGGUGAGUAACACGUGGGUAACCUGCCCAUAAGACUGGGAUAACUCCGGGAAACCGGGGCUAAUACCGGAUAACAUAUUGAACCGCAUGGUUCGAAAUUGAAAGGCGGCUUCGGCUGUCACUUAUGGAUGGACCCGGGUCGCAUUAGCUAGUUGGUGAGGUAACGGCUCACCAAGGCAACGAUGCGUAGCCGACCUGAGAGGGUGAUCGGCCACACUGGGACUGAGACACGGCCCAGACUCCUACGGGAGGCAGCAGUAGGGAAUCUUCCGCAAUGGACGAAAGUCUGACGGAGCAACGCCGCGUGAGUGAUGAAGGCUUUCGGGUCGUAAAACUCUGUUGUUAGGGAAGAACAAGUGCUAGUUGAAUAAGCUGGCACCUUGACGGUAUCUAACCAGAAAGCCACGGCUAACUACGUGCCAGCAGCCGCCGUAA